ensembl:lncRNA
UUUUGAUCCAGUAAUAACACUAGUAGGGUUUUAUCCCAAAGAGAUUGUAGAGAAGGGAAAAAGACCUACAUAUGCAAAAAUAUAGCUGCUCUUUUUGUGAUGGCAAAGAUAUGGAAAUUGAUGGAAUGCCCAUCAGUUUGGGAAUGACUGAAAUUGUGGUCUAUGACUAUAAUGGAAUACUAUUGUGCUAUAAGAAAUGAUAAGCAGGCAGAUUUCAGAAAAACUUAGACUUAUGAACUGAUACUGAGUAAAGUGAUCAUUGUAAACCUUAACAGCAACAUUGUGCAAUGAUCAACUAUGAUUGACUCAGCUCUUCUCAGUGAUCCACUGAUCCAAGAUAAUUCUAAAAGAUUCAUGACAAAAUACUAACCACAUCCAGAGAAAGAGUCAAAGAUUCUGAAUUCAGAUUGAAGAAUACUUUCAUUUGUUUUUUGUAGCUUUUCCCUUUUCUGUUUCUUUUUUCACAGCAUGCCUAAUUUGGAAAUAUGUUGUCAAGACUGCAUAUGUAUCCUAUAUCAGAUUACUUGCCGUCUUGGUGAAGGAGGAUGAGAAGGAAGGCAGAGGAAAAAAAUUAGAAUUCAAAAUCAUUUUUUAUAUUUAAAAAAUGAAUGUUGAGAACUAUCUUUACAUGUAAGUGGAAAAAAGUAAACUACUAUUUACAAAAGUAAAAAAAAAUAAUAUUCACUCUAAACCAUAAUGCAGCAUUAUCUAUGAAGAAAGUAUAAAUCUUUAGAAUGAUAGAGAUGAAAAAGAUCUUUAAAACAAAGGCAGCUAAAUGGCAUAGUGGAUAGAGCACUGCUACUGGAGUCAGGAUAGACCUAAAUUAAAAUCUAUUUGGACACUUAGUAGCUGGAUGACUGGACAAGUCAUCUGACUCCUGUCUAUCUCCAUUUUCUCAAUAGUAAAAUGUAGACAAUAAUAGCACUUCCCUCCCAGAGUUGUUGUGAAGACCAAAGAUCAAAUGUUUCUUCCCUUCCUUCCUUUAAGAGACUGAGUUCUCAAUGUUAAGUGACUUGUCCAAAGUCUUACAAUUAGUUAGCAAUAAAACCAGGAAUAGAAUCUAGGCCUACUGAUUUACAAUCCAGUUUUUUUCCUACUAUAUCAUAUUGCCUUCCAGGUGUGUAGAAAUCCAAUGUGAGGGUAUAGGUAGAUAUAAUCACAAGUACAAUAAAAACUGUAACUCUCUUCUCUUGGUUGUCACACAGAAUUCAGAGUGGGAAAAUCGAAGGGUUUUUGUGUUUUUUUGUUUUGUUUUUUUUUUAAUCAAAUUUGUUUAACAAGCAUCUUCAGCUAUGCAUUUGACCAGACAGUCACUGUCAUUACGAAGGCCCAUUUCAAGUAUUCCUUUUUUACCUGGCUAUUAACUUUGGGAAAAAGUAACUGAUACUUUCAAAUCCAUGCUGACAAGUAUGAUGAUGCUUUUCCAUUCCCAUAAUUGACCUGAUUUAGGAUGACCACUCCAAGAAUAUAUUUUGUUUUAGGGUUUUCUCUAUAAAAGUUCAGGAAACUGAAUUUUUAAUAAAGAUAUCAAAUAGAUUUUAUUUUAUUUAAAUAAUAGUGACAGGAAUUAAUAAAAAGGGGUCUGAAUCACUUUGAGUUACAACAGUGACACAAGUCCUUCGUGCCUCCAUUUUUUCACUAUGUAAUGAGGUUAAUGAGAAAUCUGUCUCAAUGUAGUUUUUUCAAUGGAUUUUUAUUAUUUUUUUUUCAGAAUUUAUAUUUCCUUUUUCACUCUUCUCCUUCUCAAAGAACCACCCUUUAUAACAAAUAGCUUUUAAAAAAAUGAAGAAAAAAUAUUCAGCAAAACCAAACAAUGCAUUGAAAAAAUUCAGACUUUACCAGUAUUUCACACCUAAGGAUCUGCAUCUCUGAAAAGCAUCAUGAGAAGUAGGACCUUCAAGUACUUCUUCUUUGGGACCAACCUUAUUCUUUAUAAAUUCUCUAUGUUCAGAUUCUAUUAUUUUGUGUUUCUUUACCUUUCUGUUGGUUUGGUCAUUAUUUGCAUUGUUUUCUUCCUACCAACAUCUGUGAUGUAAUGGGCCAGUGUGUAAAACAAUGCAGAAAUGGAAUCAGAGAGUCACUUAGAAAAAAUCUCAGUAGAAUGUCUUUUAUCAUUAAACUAUAUUCUGUUAGUUCCAGAACAGCCUUGUAUCAUCCUAUCUUUAGAGAGGAAACAAAAUGAAACACACCCUAACAAGGAGUCCUUCCAACAAUGUUUACAGUUUUGGAAUAACAGCUGUCAAAACGGUAUUGUCAAGUUUUUAGAAAGUUUUAAAUGCUUUUAGUAAAGUUUUUAUAAUCUUCCCUUGAGGAAACUAUCUCAUUUCUCACAGAAAGAACAUUUCUUUCUUUCUCUACAAAAUGUAAUGCCAGUGUUUUAAAUGUAAACAUGCAAAUCAUUAUGAAAUCCUCUCUGCAGGUAUGGGAUACAGAGAGCCAAGCAAAAAUUUAACAAUAGGAAGAUGAUAUUGUCUAAUGUCUUUUGCAAGGUUGAACUGGAUUUAAGAGAAGAAAUUCUAUGGAGCUUAAGUUCAAACAAUAACCUACACCCUUUCAACCUGAAAAGCUACAUGUAAGGAAUGGC